UGGGGAAUUUUGGACGAAUUGGGGGCAACCCGUCGAUCCAGCAAUGCCGCGUGUGUGAAGAAGGCCUUCGGGUUGUAAAGCACUUUUGUCCGGAAAGAAAACGCCGUGGUUAAUACCCGUGGCGGAUGACGGUACCGGAAGAAUAAGCACCGGCUAACUACGUGCCAGCAGCCGCGGUAAUACGUAGGGUGCAAGCGUUAAUCGGAAUUACUGGGCGUAAAGCGUGCGCAGGCGGUCCGCUAAGACAGAUGUGAAAUCCCCGGGCUUAACCUGGGAACUGCAUUUGUGACUGGCGGGCUAGAGUAUGGCAGAGGGGGUAGAAUUCCACGUGUAGCAGUGAAUGCGUAGAGAUGUGGAGGAAUACCGAUGGCGAAGGCAGCCCCCUGGGCCAAUACUGACGCUCAUGCACG
rnacentral:rRNA from 1 species